CCUACGGGAGGCUGCAGUGGGGAAUAUUGCACAAUGGGGGGAACCCUGAUGCAGCAACGCCGCGUGGGUGAAGAAGUAUUUCGGUAUGUAAAGCCCUGUCAGCAGGGAAGAAAAUGACGGUACCUGACCAAGAAGCCCCGGCUAACUACGUGCCAGCAGCCGCGGUAAUACGUAGGGGGCAAGCGUUAUCCGGAUUUACUGGGUGUAAAGGGAGCGUAGACGGCAUGGCAAGUCUGGAGUGAAAGCCCGUGGCUCAACCACGGGACUGCUUUGGAAACUGUGUUGCUGGAGUGCAGGAGGGGUAAGCGGAAUUCCUAGUGUAGCGGUGAAAUGCGUAGAUAUUAGGAGGAACACCGGUGGCGAAGGCGGCUUACUGGACUGUAACUGACGUUGAGGCUCGAAGGCGUGGGGAGCAAACAGGAUUAGAUACCCUAGUAGUC
rnacentral:rRNA from 1 species